UACGGGGGGGGGCAAGCGUUGUUCGGAAUUACUGGGCGUAAAGGGCUCGUAGGCGGCCAACUAAGUCAGACGUGAAAUCCCCAGGCUUAACCUGGGAACUGCGUCUGAUACUGGAUGGCUUGAAUUCGGGAGAGGGGAUGCAGAAUUCCAGGUGUAGCGGUGAAAUGACGUAGAUAUCUGGAGGAAUACCGGUGGCGAAGGCGGCAUCCUGGACCGACAUUGACGCUGAUGAGCGAAAGCUAGGGGAGCAAACGGGG
rnacentral:rRNA from 1 species